rnacentral:rRNA from 1 species
AGCAGCCGCGGUAAUUCCAGCUCCAAUAGCGUAUAUUAAAGUUGUUGCAGUUAAAAAGCUCGUAGUUGAACUUCAGGCCUGUCCAGACGGUCCGCCUUAAUUGGUGUGUACUGUCCUUGGGUGGGUCCUACCUUCUGGCGAAGCGGCAUGGCCUUAAUUGGUUGUGUCGGGGAACCAGGACUUUUACUGUGAAAAAUUAGAGUGUUCAAAGCAGGCAAAUAUGCUCGAAUACAUUAGCAUGGAAUAAUGGAAUAGGACGAUGGUUCUAUUUUGUUGGUUCUAGGACCGUUGUAAUGAUUAAUAGGGAUAGUUGGGGGCAUUAGUAUUCAAUUGUCAGAGGUGAAAUUCUUGGAUUUAUUGAAGACUAACUACUGCGAAAGCAUUUGCCAAGGAUGUUUUCAUUAAUCAAGAACGAAAGUUAGGGGAUCGAAGACGAUCAGAUACCGUCGUAGUCUUAACCAUAAACUAUGCCGACUAGGAAUC